CCAUCGGUGGUUCAGUGGUAGAAUGCUCGCCUGCACGCGGGCAGGCCGGGUUCGAUUCCCGGCCCGAUGCA